rnacentral:rRNA from 1 species
UAGCGGAGGAAAAGAAACCAACAGGGAUUGCCUCAGUAACGGCGAGUGAAGCGGCAAGAGCUCAAAUUUGAAAGCUGGCCCCUUCGGGGUCCGCGUUGUAAUUUGCAGAGGAUGCUUCGGGUGCAGCCCCCGUCUAAGUGCCCUGGAACGGGCCGUCAUAGAGGGUGAGAAUCCCGUCUGGGACGGGGUGUCUGCGUCCGUGUGAAGCUCCUUCGACGAGUCGA